CGGUGUUUAACUGGCGUGAUGUGGGACGUCCUACCGGUGGGCUUAGCCUCGCGAGGGGCGGCCCAACUAAUAUCCCGUCGCGGUGCUCUUUACUGAGUGUCGAGUCGGGCCGGUACGUUUACUUUGAACAAAUUAGAGUGCUUAAAGCAGGCUAUCCUCGCCUGAAUACUGCGUGCAUGGAAUAAUGGAAUAGGACCUUGGUUCUAUUUUGUUGGUUUUCGGAACCCCGAGGUAAUGAUUAAUAGGGACAGAUGGGGGCAUUCGUAUUGCGACGUUAGAGGUGAAAUUCUUGGAUCGUCGCAAGACGGACAGAAGCGAAAGCAUUUGCCAAAAAUGUUUUCAUUAAUCAAGAACGAAAGUUAGAGGUUCGAAGGCGAUCAGAUACCGCCCUAGUUCUAACCAUAAACGAUGCCAGCUAGCGAUCCGCCGAAGUUCCUCCGAUGACUCGGCGGGCAGCUUCCGGGAAACCAAAGCUUUUGGGUUCCGGGGGAAGUAUGGUUGCAAAGCUGAAACUUAAAGGAAUUGACGGAAGGGCACCACCAGGAGUGGAGCCUGCGGCUUAAUUUGACUCAACACGGGAAACCUCACCAGGCCCAGACACCGGAAGGAUUGACAGAUUGAUAGCUCUUUCUUGAUUCGGUGGGUGGUGGUGCAUGGCCGUUCUUAGUUGGUGGAGCGAUUUGUCUGGUUAAUUCCGAUAACGAACGAGACUCUAGCCUGCUAAAUAGGCGUACCUUAUGGUAUCGCGAAGGCCCCCGGCUUCGGCCGGUGGGUUUUUACUACCAACGUACAAACAAAUCUUCUUAGAGGGACAGGCGG
rnacentral:rRNA from 1 species